CAAAGAGUGCGUAAUAGCUCACUAGUCGAGAGGUCCUGCGCCGAAAAUGUCCGGGGCUAAAACACGACACCGAAGCUUAGGACUCCAUUUAGGAGUGGUAGAGGAGCAUUGUUAGCGCAGCGAAGCUGUACCGAUAAGGAGCAGUGGAGUGCUAAGAAGAGAGAAUGCCGGAAUGAGUAGCGAGAGGAAGGUGAGAAUCCUUCCGGCCGAAUAUCCAAGGUUUCCAGAGUAAAGCUGAUCUGCUCUGGGUAAGUCGGGGCCUAAGGCGAGGUCGAAAGACGUAGUCGAUGGAUAACAGGUGGAGAUUCCUGUACUAUGUGUACCCAGAACUGUGGGGACGCAUGUGGAGAGCACGAGCCGGGAAAGAGAAAACCGGUACAAGCGGGGUAGGAGUAAGGACAGCAAAUCUUCCUUACAAUCCGAAGACGUAAUGUGGACCGAACCAAAGUAGGGAAGCGUGUGAGCCAUGUGCCAAGAAAAGCCGCUAUUGUGAUACACAUACCCGUACCGUAAACCGACACAGGUGGAUGAGGAGAGAAUCCUAAGGCCGACGGAAGAAGCAUUGUUAAGGAACUCGGCAAAAUGACCCCGUAACUUCGGGAGAAGGGGUGCCCUGUGAAAGCAGGGCCGCAGAGAAUAGGCUCAAGCAACUGUUUAGCAAAAACACAGGUCUAUGCGAAACCGAAAGGUGAGGUAUAUGGGCUGACGCCUGCCCGGUGCUGGAAGGUUAAGAGGAGAAGUCAGGCAACGAAGCUUCGAAUUUAAGCCCCAGUAAACGGCGGCCGUAACUAUAACGGUCCUAAGGUAGCGAAAUUCCUUGUCGGGUAAGUUCCGACCCGCACGAAAGGCGUAAUGAUUUGAGCACUGUCUCGACAAUGCAUCCGGUGAAAUUGAAGUACCAGUGAAGAUGCUGGUUACCUGCGCCAGGACGGAAAGACCCCAUGGAGCUUUACUCCAGCUUGAUACUGGGAUUCGAUACUGUAUGUACAGGAUAGGUGGGAGACGUUGAACAUAGAACGCCAGUUUUAUGUGAGUCGCUGUUGGGAUACCACCCUUGCAGUAUUGGAUUUCUAACCUGCACCCAUGACCUGGGUGGGGGACAAUGUCUGGCGGGGAGUUUGACUGGGGCGGUCGCCUCCGAAAGGGUAUCGGAGGCGCUCAAAGGUUCCCUCAGAAUGGUUGGAAACCAUUCGAAGAGUGCAAAGGCAGAAGGGAGCUUGACUGUGACACCGACGGGUGGAGCAGGUACGAAAGUAGGACUUAGUGAUCCGGUGGUAUAAAGUGGGAUUGCCAUCGCUCAACGGAUAAAAGCUACCCUGGGGAUAACAGGCUUAUCACUCCCAAGAGUUCACAUCGACGGAGUGGUUUGGCACCUCGAUGUCGGCUCAUCGCAUCCUGGGGCUGUAGCAGGUCCCAAGGGUUGGGCUGUUCGCCCAUUAAAGCGGUACGCGAGCUGGGUUCAGAACGUCGUGAGACAGUUCGGUCCCUAUCCGGCGCAGGCGGAGGAUAUUUGAGAGGAGCUGUCCUUAGUACGAGAGGACCGGGAUGGACGGACCACUGGUGUAUCUGUUAGGUAUCAGACCUAUGGCAGAGUAGCCAAGUCCGGCAGGGAUAAACGCUGAAGGCAUCUAAGCGUGAAGCCCCCCUCAAGAUGAGAUAUCCCUCAGAAAUGAGUAAGACCCCUUGAAGACUACGAGGUAGAUAGGAAUGAGGUGUAAGCACAGCAAUGUGUUCAGCUGACAUUUACUAAUCGGUCGAGGGCUUGACCAA
rnacentral:rRNA from 1 species